UCUCACUUGUAUCAAACUAUAUAACCCUAAAGCCUUAUCUUUUUUUUCCAACCUCAUCCAGAUUGCAACCUUCUCCAACCCGGAUUCCCGUCACUCCGUCGACUCAUACUGCUCCGGCCGCCACCUCGACGUUCGCUCUCACUCAUUCACAGGUUCACUUUGAUUUUUGUAUCGCGGAAUUACAGCCAUUUCAAGUCGGGAAUCUAAACUCCUUGCUGGAAAUCGUGCUAUUGCUCAGCCAUGUGAAUUCAAGGUGAAAGCUCAACCUGGAAAGGAAAGGAAAGGAAAGGAAAGGAAGUGCAAACUUGUAGACAACCUAAAUGGUUUAUUCUUCGCACAAGCAACACCAAAACCUCCAUCGGCAAUGUACACUAUAGUUGAAGGAAUGCGAGUUGGUGGAAAGCGAACUGUGAUGGUUCCUCCUGAAAAAGGGAAUGAAUGAGAUUCCGUGCGCUUGAUCGAUCCACCAUCAAUGCCUCUGUCAAGAAAACCAACAGAUUGGUGACAGUUGAAGAAGGGUUUCCCCAGCAUGGUGUUGGAGCUGAAAUCUGGUUUAUCUAUUUACAUUAGUUUCUAUAUCUAUCUUUCUAGUUAAAUUUUGGGAAGUUGUAUAAGUUCAUACUUCUUUGCGCAUCACAUUUUUCGUUGAAGGGAGUUUUGUUAUCUUGAUGAUGCACUGGUUGAGAGAAUUGUUGGGGCUGAUGUUCCCAUGCCUUAUGCAGCAAAUUUGGAGAGGUUAGCUGUUCCACAGGUAAUGUUUCUUAAAUAUUACUUGUAAGGCUUCAACACAUGUGUAUGGAUCAUUUGAAUCUAUUUUCUUGUUGGUUGGUAUUUAUGUCCAAAUGUAUUUACUUGUAAGGUUUCAAUACAUGUGUAUGGAUUGUUUGAAUCUAUUUGUGUGGAUCAUUUGAAUCUAUUUACUUGUAAGGUUUCUUAAAUAUUCUUAAAUUUUGUUGUACUGGAUGGUGUUUAUGUCCAAAUGGCAGAUUUCCGCUAUAGCUAUAUUAUAUAUGAUUAA